CGGCGGACGGGUGAGUAAUGUAUGGGGAUCUGCCUGAUGGCGGGGGAUAACUACUGGAAACGGUAGCUAAUACCGCAUAACGUCGCAAGACCAAAGAGGGGGACCUUCGGGCCUCUUGCCAUCGGAUGUGCCCAGAUGGGAUUAGCUAGUAGGUGGGGUAACGGCUCACCUAGGCGACGAUCCCUAGCUGGUCUGAGAGGGUGACCGGCCACACUGGGACUGAGACACGGCCCAG
rnacentral:rRNA from 1 species